CAAAAACAUGUCUAUAUGAGAGAUUUAUAAAGUCUGACCUGCCCAUUGGAAACUGAAAGGCCGCGGUAUUAUGACCGUGCAAAGGUAGCAUAAUCAUUAGUUUUUUAAUUGAAGGCUAGAAUGAAUGGUUGGACAAGAAAUAAUCUGUCUUAAAUUAAGAUAUUGAAUUUAACUUUUGAGUGAAAAGGCUUAAAUGAUCUAAAGGGACGAUAAGACCCUAUAAAACUUUAUAUUUUAAGGUAGAAGAUAAUUUUAUUUAAAUAUUAUUAUUUUAAAAUAUUUUGUUGGGGCGACAAGGAUAUAAUAAUGGGUAACUGUCUUUUAUUUUUACAAUAAUAUUUGAUUUGUUGAUCCUAAAAGGGAUUAAAGAUUAAGUUACUUUAGGGAUAACAGCGUAAUUUUUUUUGAGAGUUCUUAUCGACAAAAAAGUUUGCGACCUCGAUGUUGAAUUAAAAGUUCUUUAUAGAGUAGAGACUAUAAAAGAAGGUCUGUUCGACCUUUAAAGUUUUACAUGAUUUGAGUUCAGACCGGCGUAAGCCAGGUUGGUUUUUCUAUCUAAAA
rnacentral:rRNA from 1 species